GACUCCGCCCCUUCCUGCUCAGUAACGUCCGGUCCUUCAGCCCCUGAGGUCGCGGAGCCAUGGCGCGGGGGUGGGGCUUGGGAAGCCACAAGCUUCCCACCACGGCCGCAUAAAUGUAACCGGUUUUAAAAGUUGAGAACUUUGCUUGGCUGGUAUAGCUAGCUCAUUGGAUUGAGCGCAGGCCUACCAGCCAAGGGGUCGCAGGUUUAAUUCCCAGUCAGGGCACAGACCGGGGUUGUAGGCCAGGUUCCCCAGUGGGGUCCAUGUGAUGAUUCUCCUCUUUCCCUCUAUAUAAACAAAAUCCUUAAAUAUAUAAAUGAGAGCUUUAAGCCCAAACCUGUAUCUUGCCCGGAAAGGCCGCUCUACUUGGAAAGUUUCGGUUGGAAAGUUUCGGGAUCGAACCCAACGUUCACUGAUUAAAGGGGAGUUUGGAACAGUCUCCAAGUAUUGGGUUUUCAGGUCUCAGCUAAGGCCGUGAUUCUACUUGCUGGAGCGGGGCUGGUCUUGGUUAUUACAACAAAAGAACCCAGACUCACAUAGGUGGAGGUUCCUGAACACAGGAAGCACAGAGGCCCCUGCUGGGAGAGAAGAACUGCAAGCAACUCAAGGUGAUAUCUGAGCCAUUGUACUCCAGGGUGAGAUGCCCACGCCCAGGACACAGCUAAAGACCACUGCCUGGGGCACAGCUUAAGACCACCGCCCAGGAGAGAGGAAAGGAGAGAGAGAGAAACAUUGAUGCGAGUGAAGUGUCAGUUGUGUCUUGUACAUGCCUGGACCUGGGAUCGAACCUGCAACCUUUCUGCUACGAGACAACGCUCCAACCGGAGCCACAUCAGCCGAGGCUACCUGUCUAUUCUUGAUAAAUCAUCCUCAUGUGUUCAUCUGCGAAGAGAAUGUCUCCUCUGUUGAGUUUGCUGUGUACCAUCUGGUUAGGGUAGAGGCACUGGAUAAAGAAGAAUAUAAAGGUGUAACACAGGCUCUUUUUGUUUGCUAUUUUGUUUUUUGUCUUUAAUUUUUGCAUUUAUAGGGAACUCUGGAUCUCCAAGUUAUCACCGAGGUGAAAGUGGUACAAGAGGCAGGGAGCGGGGAUCCAGGAACCGGCUGAGAGUAGGGUCUGGUCCGAGAGUGUGUGAAUGGGGAGUGGGCCCUGGCAGGCUGGCGGAAGGCACAUUCUGAGUUAGCGGGGAGAAGGGAGUUGCAAUGGUUGGAAAUUUGUUUCCAUUUCAACUUCGGGAGUUACUAGUAUUCCUGUGCACAUCUAUCUGAAUGUAGCAAAUUAUGUGUAAGAUUGCUAUAUAGUGUGGGAAGGGUGCAUAAUUUUGUUUUAAUGAACAUGUUCUUUAUUAUUGGAAUACUAGUCCAAGGCAAUUGAUAUCUACUUACAAUUUCAGGCAAAAAUUAUCCAAUAUCAUGCCCACAUUGAUAUACAGGAUCUGGCAGAAGUAAGGCCUGCUUGAGUGUGGUUGGUGGGGUAAUAGUAUGGGUGUAAUAAUUUAUAGUUUCAAUUCGAACAUUUCACCUAAAAUGUCACAAGGUGUGCUCGAAUGUGAUAUUGUUAUGUUACAGAAUGUCAUGCUUAUGAUUUUGUAAUAAAAGAUUUUCGUAUUAAAAAAAGGGUGUUAUUUGUGCCAGACCUAAUUAAUCUGUUGCCCUUAUGCUUUUCUUGAAUAUUUGGUGAGCUUGGAAUCUCAGAAUGGAAUACCAGACAAAACACCUGACUUACCAGAAAAGUCCACCAGGCCUUGAAAUAGAACCUAACAACAAUUCCAGGAAUGAUGACUGUUCCACUCAUGGAACAAUUGGACGGGAAGGGUGUAAUGCAUUAUUUCCUGGCUUCAGUUUCUGACAGUGUGAGGUGAGCCCCGCCUACACAGAGGCCUGUUAUGUGAUGUCAUGGGAAUUUUAAGAAUUUGAUUCAAAUGCCAACUACAGCUGAUAUGAUUGGGAAAUAUUUAGAAGGAGCCUCUUUCCCCCUGGCAUACAAAAAUAUCUAUAUACAAUUAGUAUGUACAAAUUGAUGAGUUUGGAAAUAAGUAUAUACCCAUAAAAUCAUUCUCACAAUUUAUGCCAUAAAACUAUCCAUCACCUCUAAAAAUGUCCUCCUGCU